rnacentral:rRNA from 1 species
GAUGAACGCUGGCGGCGUGCUUAACACAUGCAAGUCGAACGAUGAAGCCCAGCUUGCUGGGUGGAUUAGUGGCGAACGGGUGAGUAACACGUGAGUAACCUGCCCUUAACUCUGGGAUAAGCCUGGGAAACUGGGUCUAAUACCGGAUAGGAGCGUCCACCGCAUGGUGGGUGUUGGAAAGAUUUAUCGGUUUUGGAUGGACUCGCGGCCUAUCAGCUUGUUGGUGAGGUAAUGGCUUACCAAGGCGACGACGGGUAGCCGGCCUGAGAGGGUGACCGGCCACACUGGGACUGAGACACGGCCCAGACUCCUACGGGAGGCAGCAGUGGGGAAUAUUGCACAAUGGGCGCAAGCCUGAUGCAGCGACGCCGCGUGAGGGAUGACGGCCUUCGGGUUGUAAACCUAUUUCAGUAGGGAAGAAGCGAAAGUGACGGUACCUGCAGAAGAAGCACCGGCUAACUACGUG